AUAUCUUUUUGCGAACCUCUAUUUGGGGCUCUAUCUCAGCCAUUGAAGUGAUCUCAAUGGCUGAAGAGAAAAAACAAGCUCACAGUAGAAUCGGGUACAAUGCAGCUCCUCUUUUGCCGCUCACGCCUUUUUUUUGUUCAUUCCUUGCACCAUUUAAUUAUUUUAUGAAUAAUAACUUCAAACCCCCAAAAUCUCACAACACAAGUACCCAAAAGGUCAUAACUCCACCCAAAAACCAGAUUAAAGAAAAAACUGUUUUCAUUUGUGCAAAAUCUCACGACCCAAAAUCUCUGAACUUCUCAAAUACCCAUUUCUCAACUUCUUCGUGAUCGAGUGUUGCCUCUGAUAUCAAAACCCUUUCCAGUCGCCCAUUCAUUCCAUCCUCCGUAAUCGAGUGUUGCCUAAGAAUCAUCAGCGGUUUGUCCAAAAUUAGCUGUCCCGACAUCUGCAUUUCUGAACUUCUCCCAAAUCGAAUUUUGAUCUUUCAAAGAAGCAUCAACCAGUUCUGUGGGCCUGUACCUGGGGACCUUGAUCGGGAAUGGAAUUGAGAAGUUAGCAUCGAUAUAGAGAAGCGUUGUUGACCAGCUAAAUUCUGGGUUGGAAAAUAUAUAGUAGGAAAUCAAGGCCCAGCUGUUUAGAGUCCAUUUAACUAGUUGUGAAAUAUUUGUGUAUGAUUCGAAAUUAGAUUUGUGCAGAACUCAAACAUUGAUAAAAGCACUGCAGCCGGUUGCGAAAUUGAUCCCUAUGUUGUUAAAAGAAGCUGGAUAUGUUGACGGUUGUCCUCUACUAACAACUGAGUGGCCAGUUAAUCGAGUAAUUGAUGCUCCCCAACAAGUUGGUGGGUGAGUAACUUUCCACCUACAAAUUUACAUAUGUUAUGUACAAAUUGUGGAAUGAUUCACGGUGUCUUGCUAAGUUUCAGGGGGGACUGCGGGAUGUUUGUCAUAAAAUAUUGCGAAUUUCUCAGCUCCAAUGUAGACU